UACGUAGGGUGCAAGCGUUAAUCGGAAUUACUGGGCGUAAAGCGUGCGCAGGCGGUUCUAUAAGACAGAUGUGAAAUCCCCGGGCCCAACCUGGGAACUGCAUUUGUGACUGUAGAGCUGGAGUACGGCAGAGGGGGAUGGAAUUCCGCGUGUAGCAGUGAAAUGCGUAGAUAUGCGGAGGAACACCGAUGGCGAAGGCAAUCCCCUGGGCCUGUACUGACGCUCAUGCACGAAAGCGUGGGGAGCAAACAGG
rnacentral:rRNA from 1 species